GACGAACCGUGCAAGCGUUAUUCGGAAUCACUGGGCAUAAAGGGCGCGUAGGCGGCUCCAAAAGUCAGGGGUGAAAUCCGGCAGCUUAACUGUCGCAGUGCCUUUGAUACUGUGGAGCUAGAGGGAGGUAGGGGUCUGUGGAACUUCCGGUGGAGCGGUGAAAUGCGUUGAUAUCGGAAGGAACGCCGGUGGCGAAAGCGACGGACUGGAUCUCAUCUGACGCUGAGGCGCGAAAGCCAGGGGAGCAAACGGG
rnacentral:rRNA from 1 species